AUCUUCUUUAAAUUUAGGAAUAUUAAGGCACAUUGCUUGCGAUUUACUUGUAUUGAUCUUAUAGUACGAGUUUGUACUAUACAAAAAUAAUUCUUUCUUUAAAUUUGGUAAAGAGAUAUGUGGCUGAGUAAUUGUUAACAAAAUGUCGUCUGCAUAAGCGUUAAGUUUAUAUUCGUUCCGCCCUAUUUGAACUCCCUGUAUAUCUUCAUUUUGCCGUAUUGCUGUAAGUAAAGGCUCUAAAGCAAGAACAUAGAGCAACGGCGAUAGGGGACAGCCCUGACG